UUGUUUUUGAAUGCUAUUUUUCCCAAAUGAUUCAUUGUCAUUUUUUUUUGUUGAUUUUCCAUAAAACCCUGCUGAUUUUUUUUUUUUCAUGUUAAAUCAGCAAUGGCAAGUUCAACUCCAAGGGCAACCCCAAGGUUAGGAAGACAAAGAGAUAAAGCUUGGAAAUAUGGGAUUGCAGGAAGCAAAAAGGGGGAGGUCACUUGCACCGAAUGCACAAAAUGGAUGACUGGUGGAAUCAAUAGAUUAAAAUACCACCUUGCACAAAUACCUGGAUAUGGUGUGGAGGCAUGCCCCAAAUCAACUCCUGAAAUUAUUAGAGAGAUGAAGGCCAUUCUUGCUGAGAAUGAUAUGCAUAAGGAAGAAAGGCAAAAAACAAGAGAAGCCAUGGCAGUUGCAAUGAAUCCCACAUUGUCCACUUCGGGUCCCAUUGGUCACAGUCGGGGUCGUCAGUCACUUUCAUCUUUUGGUGACAAUGAGGGUGAGGCUAGUGGCACUCCUGUUAGAUCAGACCCUAAUUUUUUUGUACCACGCAAUGUUCCAGGUGCACAACCUUCACUUGAAGGUACAGGAUGGAAUAGAGAGAAGCAUGAACAAGCACGGAUAGCAGCUUCAAACUUUUGGUUUUACAAUAAUCUAUCUUUCAAUGCAGCAAACAAUGUGUAUUGGGAAAGUUUUGUUAAUGCAUGUACAGUGGCGGGUAAGGGGUUUAAGGCCCCAACAGGUCAUGACUUCAGUGGGCCAUUGCUAGAGAAAGCUGUGCAAAAUACACAAGGUGUGGUUGAUGAUCAGAAAAGGUAUUGGAAGAGAAAAGGAUGCAGCAUUUUAUCUGAUGGAUGGACAGAUGGACGGAAUAGGACUCUUCUCAACUUCUUGGUGGCUUCAAAUGGUGCAAUGGUAUUCAUAAAGUCUGUUGAUGCCUCAAAUGAAAUAAAAAAUGCAGAGACUUUGUGUAAUCUGUUGGAUGGUGUGGUUCGGGAAGUUGGAGUUGAGAAUGUUGUCCAAAUUAUCACGGACAACGCAGCUGCAUAUGUAUCUGCAGGUAGAAUGCUUAUGGAGAGGCAUCCUUCGAUUACAUGGAGUCCCUGUGCUGCACAUUGCUUGGACUUGGUGCUAGAGGACAUUGGGAAGAUUGGAUGGGUGAAGAAGGUGGUUGAAGAUGCAAAAAGUGUCACCAAAUUCAUCUACAACCAUACUUGGGUGCUUGCUUGGAUGAGAAAACACACAAAUGGCAAGGACCUUGUGCGACCUGGAGUGACACGAUUUGCUAGCCACUUCAUCACUUUGCAGAGCAUUCUUAGUGCCAUUCCUCAUCUUAAGCAGAUUUUUGUGUCAGAUGCUUGGUUGGGGUCUGCAUACUCCAAAAGACCUGAAGCAGAGAAGAUUGUGAGCAUUGUUUUUGAUGAAGGGUUCAAUAAAAGUGGAGAGUAGUUGACUGUGGUGACAGAACCUUUGGUAAGGGUUCUUCGUAUGGUGGAUGGAGAGGGUGUGCCAAUGGGUUUCAUUUAUGAGGCCAUGGAUAGGGCCAAAGAGGCCAUUUCACAUUACUAUCGUGGAAAUACAAGAAAAUGUGAAAUCCUUUGGCACAUCAUUGAUCGUAGGUGGACAAACCAACUCCACCAACCGAUACAUGUCUUCGCCUACUUUUUGAACCCGAAAUUCUACUUCUUUGAUUCAUUUAGGGCUGAUGAGGAGGUCAUGGCAGGUGUUAUUACAUGCAUUGAUAAGAUCACACCUGAUCCUGAGUUGAGAGACAAGGUUCUUGAUGAGUUGGAGAUCUACAAAAGUGCAGAGGGGAGACUCUUCUCAUCACAACUAGCAAUUGAUAGGAGAGGAAAACAACAACCAGAUUUAUGGUGCCGGCACGCCUAAUCUUCAAAAGAUAGCUAUCCGUGUUUUGUCUCAGCCAUGCAGUGCUUCUGGGUGUGAACGAAAUUGGAGUGUCUUUGAGAGCAUUCACACAAAGAAGAGAAAUAGAUUGUCACAAAAGCGGCUCAAUGAUCUAUUAUUUGUUCGGUACAACCUUCGCCUUCGAGUUAGACAGGGGGAGGGUGUUUCACAUGAGGCCAUUGACUUGGAUGAAAUUGAUCCAUAUGGUGAUUGGACCAUGAAUGAACAAAAUGAUGGUGAUGAUGUCCUUACCGAAGAAGAAAUUGCAGAAAUAGAGAGAGGAGUAGCACAAGAUGCAGAAGGAGCAAGAUUGGAUGAAGAUGAGGACGAAGAUGAGGAUGAUGAUGAGGACUUUGACUUUGAAGAAGAAUCAUCUCACCAUUUAGAUACCACAACACCCACUGCUACUACUUCUAGCUCAAGCCCUAAAAAACUGAGCUAUAUUAGGAAAAAUACAAAGAGGAAGAUGUAGUCUUCUCUUUGGUUUGUUCAUUCACAUUGUUGUUUUUCACAUUUGGAGUUGGAGUUGGACAUAUCAUUAUAUGUAAUUUUGUGAA